rnacentral:lncRNA from 1 species
UUUUUUGGGGACUGCUGUCAAAAAAAUGAGGAAUGAUACUCGAGUUGAAGAAUUGUAGACUGGAUCCCAGAAAAAUUCUGGUCAAACUAACAAAUGAUUCACUAAAGAAUGGGGGCAGAAAAAAAAAAAGCUGGCUUCUUGUUCUGUCUUUCUAGUUAAUGAAUCGAAUUGAUACAGGAACUUCAUCGUGUUCUCAGGGAAAUCCUGUUGGCUGGGGCUCACCCUUCAGCACCGCUAAAUUUAGGUCACGGCUCGGUGAAGAACAAUUACAGAUUCUUAAUAAAAGAUAAUUUACCCGGUGACAUCCAACAGGACAUCUGGGCAGGCGUUCUCAUUUUCUUGUUAAUGUUGUGGGGAUGGGGAGCGUGGAGUGGGGAUGAAUGUUGACAGAAAGUCAUUUUCUGACCUGCUUUGUGGCAUAUGUCAGUCCAUGCUCUUUCCAAAUUCCAUGAGGCUGGGCAAGGAAAAACUUUGUGGAAAGAAGAAUUAUCAGGGAACCCUAAGCUGAAAAAUUGCCAGGGCUCACACAGACCUGGGGAAUUGGUUGAGUUUAUGCCACCUACAGGAUAGAGAACUUGCUGAAUGUUCAAGGAUUUUGUUACAGAUGCAAGAUGACACUUAAAGGGAUGCAAAACUAACAUCUCUGGAUUAGUCUUAAUAAAG